GGCACUGUGAACAGGCUGAAGGGAGGGAGGAGGGAGGAUAGUGAGUGAGGGAUGGGGAGAUUGCCGGACCGAGCGGAUAGAAGUGUUACUACAGAGCUGCUGCUGCUGCUGCUGCUGGAGGACGGGCUGGGAGCCGAGGAUAAUGCUCCAUCCCUCAGCGUACGGCGGCACGCCGGACAGCUUCUAAUUUCUUGUGGCGGCGGCGGCGGCUGUGGAGGAGGAGGAGGCUCUUCAUUGUUGCAGCAGUGAUUGUCUUUUUCUUUUUUUUCUCCCCCUUUAACCAGUCUUCUUCUUCUUCAUCAUCAUCUUCCUGCUCGCCCCUCCUCACUCCUUAUUCCUCUGCAACUGGCAACCGCUGGGCUCCCCCCUCCUCUUUUCUACUUCUGUCCCCUUUUCCAGAAGAGGGAUUUCUGUAUUUCAUCAGGGAUUGUAGAAGCCAAUCACGUAUUUAUUUGGUGUUUCUGGUGUGGAUUUGAGUGUCGUCUCUCACGCCGGUGCUGAAAAUCCUGAAACAGCACGCGGAGCCGACCGGGAGCCACCUGAGACAGAUCUGUUAUCUUGCUCGGCUUGUACUCGAACACAGCGCUGCAUCACUGAUGCUCUGAAGUGGCUUCUCAGCUCUCUCAGGGUGUCUCUCUGGGAAUGAUGGUGUCGCCACUGGUGCCGCCCUCUGUGUCGCCAUGACGAUGCCGUUCAGCCCCCUGUCCAGCGACGAGGAGCAACAAAGGAUGCUGGGAAACAAUCGACAUCUCUAUCCAGGGGCAGAGGACGAGGAAGAGGAGGAGGAAGAGGAGGAGGAGGAAAUGGAAGAAGAUGAGCACGACGAGG